GAUGAACGCUAGCGGGAGGCCUAAUACAUGCAAGUCGAGCGGUAGAGUGACUUCGGUUGCUUGAGAGCGGUGCACGGGUGAGUAACGCGUACAUGACCUACCUUUAAGACUGGGAUAGCCCUGGGAAACUGGGAUUAAUACCGGAUGUGAUAAUAGAUAUAAGGAUUUAUUAUUAAAGUUACGGCGCUUAGAGAUGGAUGUGCGUCUGAUUAGCUAGUUGGUAGGUAACGGCCUACCAAGGCUACGAUCAGUAGGGGGCGUGAGAGCGUGACCCCCCACACGGGUACUGAGACACGGACCCGACUCCUACGGGAGGCAGCAGUAAGGAAUAUUGGUCAAUGGACGAAAGUCUGAACCA
rnacentral:rRNA from 1 species